rnacentral:tRNA from 1 species
GCUGGGGUAGCUCAGCUUGGUUAGAGCACCUGAUUGUGGAUCAGGGGGUCGGCGGUUCAAUUCCGCCCCCCAGUA